rnacentral:rRNA from 1 species
AUUGAACGCUGGCGGAAUGCUUUACACAUGCAAGUCGAACGGCAGCACGGACUUCGGUCUGGUGGCGAGUGGCGAACGGGUGAGUAAUGUAUCGGAACGUGCCCAGUCGUGGGGGAUAACGUAGUGAAAAUUACGCUAAUACCGCAUACGAUCUAUGGUUGAAAGCGGGGGAUCGCAAGACCUCGCGCGAUUGGAGCGGCCGAUAUCAGAUUAGGUAGUUGGUGGGGUAAAGGCCCACCAAGCCAACGAUCUGUAGCUGGUCUGAGAGGACGACCAGCCACGCUGGAACUGAGACACGGUCCAGACUCCUACGGGAGGCAGCAGUGGGGAAUUUUGGACAAUGGGCGAAAGCCUGAUCCAGCCAUUCCGCGUGCAGGAUGAAGGCCCUCGGGUUGUAAACUGCUUUUGUACAGAACGAAAAGGUUUCUACUAAUACUAGGAGCUCAUGACGGUACUGUAAGAAUAAGCACCGGCUAACUACGUGCCAGCAGCCGCAGUAA